rnacentral:rRNA from 1 species
GACAGAGGGUGCAACGUUGUUCGGAAUUACUGGGCGUAAAGCGUGUGUAGGCGGCUGCGCAAGUCGGAUGUGAAAGCCCGGGCUUAACCCGGGAAGUGCACUCGAACUGACGUAGCUUGAGUAUCGGAGAGGUGGUGGAAUUCUCGGUGUAGAGGUGAAAUUCGUAGAUAUCGAGAGGAACACCGGUGGCGAAGGCGGCCAACUGGACGAAUACUGACGCUGAGACACGAAAGCGUGGGGAGCAAACAGG